GAUCAUGGCUCAGGAUGGACGCUAGCUACAGGCUUAACACAUGCAAGUCGAGGGGCAGCAUUUCAGUUUGCUUGCAAACUGGAGAUGGCGACCGGCGCACGGGUGAGUAACACGUAUCCAACCUGCCGAUAACUCGGGGAUAGCCUUUCGAAAGAAAGAUUAAUACCCGAUGGUAUAAUUAGACCGCAUGGUCUUGUUAUUAAAGAAUUUCGGUUAUCGAUGGGGAUGCGUUCCAUUAGGCAGG
rnacentral:rRNA from 1 species